GACGAACGCUGGCGGCGUGCUUAACACAUGCAAGUCGAACGGAAAGGCCCUGCUUUUGUGGGGUGCUCGAGUGGCGAACGGGUGAGUAACACGUGAGUAACCUGCACUUGACUUUGGGAUAACUUCAGGAAACUGGGGCUAAUACCGGAUAGGAGCUCCUGCUGCAUGGUGGGGGUUGGAAAGUUUCGGCGGUUGGGGAUGGACUCGCGGCUUAUCAGCUUGUUGGUGGGGUAGUGGCUUACCAAGGCUUUGACGGGUAGCCGGCCUGAGAGGGUGACCGGCCACAUUGGGACUGAGAUACGGACCAGACGCCUACGGGAGGCAGCAGUGGGGAAUAUUGCACAAUGGGCGGAAGCCUGAUGCAGCAACGCCGCGUGCGGGAUGACGGCCUUCGGGUUGUAAACCGCUUUCGCCUGUGACGAAGCGUGAGUGACGGUAAUGGGUAAAGAAGCACCGGCUAACUACGUG
rnacentral:rRNA from 1 species